UACGUAGGGUGCGAGCGUUAAUCGGAAUUACUGGGCGUAAAGCGUGCGCAGGCGGUUUUGUAAGCCAGAUGUGAAAUCCCCGGGCUUAACCUGGGAAUGGCAUUUGGGACUGCAAGGCUGGAGUACGGCAGAGGAGACUGGAAUUCCUGGUGUAGCAGUGAAAUGCGUAGAGAUCAGGAGGAAUACCGAUGGCGCAGGCAGGUCUCUGGGCUGAUACUGACGCUCAUGCACGAAAGCGUGGGGAGCAAACAGG
rnacentral:rRNA from 1 species